GGAGGGAUGUCAGAGCGGUUUAAUGAGGCGGUCUUGAAAACCGUUGACUGUAACAGGUCCGGGGGUUCGAAUCCCUCUCCCUCCG
rnacentral:tRNA from 1 species